rnacentral:rRNA from 1 species
AGUUUGAUCAGUGGCUCGAGGACGAACGCUGGCGGCGUGCUUAACACAUGCAAGUCGAACGGAAAGGCCCCCUUGUGGGGUACUCGAGUGGCGAACGGGUGAGUAACACGUGAGUAACCUACCCUUGACUUUGGGAUAACUUCAGGAAACUGGGGCUAAUACCGGAUAGGAGCUCCUGCUGCAUGGUGGGGGUUGGAAAGUUUCGGCGGUUGGGGAUGGACUCGCGGCUUAUCAGCUUGUUGGUGGGGUAGUGGCUCACCAAGGCUUUGACGGGUAGCCGGCCUGAGAGGGUGACCGGCCACAUUGGGACUGAGAUACGGCCCAGACUCCUACGGGAGGCAGCAGUGGGGAAUAUUGCACAAUGGGCGGAAGCCUGAUGCAGCAACGCCGCGUGCGGGAUGACGGCCUUCGGGUUGUAAACCGCUUUCGCCUGUGACGAAGCGUGAGUGACGGUAAUGGGUAAAGAAGCACCGGCUAACUACGUG